rnacentral:rRNA from 1 species
GAUGAACGCUGGCGGCGUGCCUAAUACAUGCAAGUCGAGCGAACAGAUGAGGAGCUUGCUCCUCUGACGUUAGCGGCGGACGGGUGAGUAACACGUGGAUAACCUACCUAUAAGACUGGGAUAACUUCGGGAAACCGGAGCUAAUACCGGAUAAUAUAUUGAACCGCAUGGUUCAAUAGUGAAAGACGGUUUUGCUGUCACUUAUAGAUGGAUCCGCGCCGCAUUAGCUAGUUGGUAAGGUAACGGCUUACCAAGGCAACGAUGCGUAGCCGACCUGGGAGGGUGAUCGGCCACACUGGAACUGAGACACGGUCCAGACUCCUGCGGGAGGCAGCAGUAGGGAAUCUUCCGCAAUGGGCGAAAGCCUGACGGAGCAACGCCGCGUGAGUGAUGAAGGUCUUCGGAUCGUAAAACUCUGUUAUUAGGGAAGAACAAAUGUGUAAGUAACUAUGCCCGUCUUGACGGUACCUAAUCAGAAAGCCACGGCUAACUACGUG